AUGUACAUUCGUCCUUUUAGGAUGGAUUUGCCUGUACUGACCGCAGAGGAUGUAGAGGAAGUGCUGCGGGAGGCGGAAAUGGAAUUGCUGACAAAAUUUGUGCAAGAACUAUGGUGCAGCGCCACCAUGGCAACCCCUGGUGUUUCCGACGAGACGGGAAUGCUUUGCAACUUUGCGGAUGACAAUUUGAGAGUUCCUGGACCCUCACCGACAACCUUUGCGGAUGACAAUUUGGGAGUUCCCUGGCCCUCACAGUCGGCACCUGAGGAGUCUGAUUCGGAUGAUGGAAUGGACACAUCCAUGGGUUCCCUACGAUGUCUGCCGCCUAAAAAACGUUUUUUGGUGAUGCACGGAGCAGGGAGACGCAAACGAUCGCGCGUUAAGCAACAUACCGCAACUCAGCGCCCGGCUACGCCGCAACCGGCACUGGGCCAACCAUCGAGGGACCAGACGCGGCACCCUAGUCCUCCGCAUGUGGCUGAGCGCCCGGCUACGCCGCAACCCGCACCACGGCCGGCAUCCCCACCGCAGCCCGCCUCUCCAGCGCAGCCCGCCUCUCCAGCGCAGCCCGCCUCUCCAGCGCAGCCAGCCUCUCCAGCGCAGCCAGCCUCUCCAGCGCAGCCCGCCUCUCCAGCGCAGCCAGCCUCUCCACGAAUACAAUAUCCUGAUGGUAAUAGUUCCUCCAAUUUAGAUAUAAGCGCCGACGAAACCUUUAAUUUUAGAGUGCUAGGAGAAGAAGCUAGGGAUUUGCCUAAUUUGGAAGCAGGCCUUUUAUGCAUGAAUCUCCUUCUCAGUGAGCCUCCAACAGAACCUUCGUCAGGUCCUGAAACUUACAGUCCAUGGUUGCACCACACUUUAGCACAACUAAUCCAGUAUUGUCUUGUGAGAGGGAAUGUCCGCCCUCAAGACAGAGUGCAGCUUGAAAUUUUUAGUUUCAAUGCAGGGAACAAGCCGCUUUUCAUAACACCUAGACGUGGUGAUCAGCUAACACCAGAGGUAGUGUUUCAACGUCUGGAAAAAAUUCUAAAUUCUAAUGAAGAAUUCUUGCUUGAAGGCCCAUUGAGGAUCAGAUUUUGCAUUAAAAGAUGCCUAGUAGGUUAUGGUAGGAUACCUAUUGGUGUAAAUCUGGCAAUGAGUCAUCAAAAAUUUGUGACCACAAAAAGAGGUAUCAUCAACAUCCCGAAUAAUGAUGGUCUCUGUUUAGCCCGUGCGAUUGUUGUGGGCAGAGCUCACGCUCAUAGAUUAGACAGCCCUGAGGCAAUGACUGAAUACAAAUGGCUCAUUAGGAGAAAUUGUGAAGGGCAGGAACGAGCAGCUUUACAGUUGUGUGACAUUGCGGGGGUAAAUUUGACAUUCGGGGGAAGUAUUGACGAAGUGAGAUAUUUUCAGAAUGUAUUGCCAAAUUACACCAUUACUGUAUUCGACGAUAGACGGGGCACAAGCAUUGCAUUUGAAGGGCCACCAUCCACCGAUGCUCAUCCCCGACGACAUAUUGAUCUAUUCUAUGAGGAUGGUCAUUUUGUAACAAUUUCAAAUUUAAAAGGUCUCCUAGCCAAAAACUAUUGUAGACACUGUAAAACUCCGUAUUUUGAUAAGAUUGAGCACAAAUGCAACCUUGCAUGUCCUCAAUGUUGCGCAAAUACGAAGUGUCAGCUGACUGGUAGAGGCCGAUUCUGUGAGGAGUGCAAUCGUUUCUUUUCAAAUGGAGAUUGUUAUAAAAAUCAUCUUCAAGUGUACUCAAGUAAGAAAACAGUGUGUGAGUUGAUAAAGAAGUGUUUGGAUUGUCAUAAAGUUUACAGAACUCUGAAAAGGAACAAGGUGCCUCAUAAAUGUGACGAGAUGUAUUGCGGUGUCUGUUCUCGAUUCGUUGCUUACGGACACAAAUGUUUCGUUCAAAAAGUCAAAGACGAAACAAACCCCUCUAAAAAAGGCUACUUGUUUGUUUUUACGAUCUUGAGUGUCAGCAGAGUACGCCUACAGGGAAAGAUGGGGAAUUCUUGCAUGAGGCAAAUCUGUGUGUUUCGCGCCAAUAUUGUGAUAAAUGUUUAGAUAUCGAAGAGCAAGAAGUAUGUGAGCAUUGUGGAACGCGUGAAAGGGUCUUUUCGGGGUUAAACUGCGUGAAAGAAUUCAUCACAUAUCUUCGAGAGCCUGAAAAGCAUUUCCCUAGCAUAACUUGCAUUGCCCAUUAUGGUUCCGGGUAUGAUUUUCAAUUUGUUUUGAGAUGGCUAGCUGUCGAGGAAGGGUGGACUCCUACUAUGAUAUCUAACGGGGCUAAACUAAUGCGCAUUAAGUUCGGCAACAUCACUUUUAUCGACUCAUUAAAUUUCCUUUGUGCGCCUCUGUCUAAACUCCCUAAAAUGAUGAGCAUCGGAGAUGGCAAUUUGAACAAGGGGUACUUUCCCCACUUGUUUAACAGGCCUGAAAAUGCAGGCUAUGUGGGACCCAUGCCUGCACCUGAAAUGUAUACCUACGACGACAUGUCAGAGUCUGGGAGGAGAGAAUUCCUUAAUUGGUACAACACGAAGGUGGACGAAGGUUAUGUUUUCGAUUUUGAUGCCGAGUUGUUGUUUUAUUGCAAGCAGGACGUAAAAAUCCUGGCUAUGGCCUGCCUAAAAUUUAGACUCUUAUUUCUGAAGGAAACAACGAUUGAUCCCUUCAGAGAGUGCGUAACCAUAGCUUCAGCAUGUAUGAAGACCUUUUUGAAGCUCUUUUACGAACCUCAGACCAUUGCUAUCAUUCCGAAAUCCGGUUACCGUAGAGCUGACAAUCAAAGCACAGCAGCAUUGCUAUGGUUAGAUUGGUAUGCGCACUCACAUAAUCUUGAUGUUCGACAUGCUGGGAAUGGUCGCGAGGUAGUACCUCCUGGUCUUCGAUGCAAAGUUGAUGGUUACGUCCCUGAGUUAAAACUAAUUUUAGAGUUUCACGGGUGUUUCUUCCACGGAUGUGUAAAAUGUAAAAGAGACGGGCGGGACAUACCAAUCGCCAAUGCACCAGACGAGACCCUUAAUACUCGUUACCAACGGACAUUAAGCAAGGAAGCUUCCAUUACAUCUGUAAAAGACCAAAAUAAUACUCCGGUUUUCAGUCUAGUGACUAUGUGGGAGUGUGAGUGGGAACAACUAAAAAAUGGAGAUCCGGAUGUUAAGACCUUUUGUCAGAAUGCCUACGCAGAUUAUUUGAUCUCACCGUUAGUUCCCAAAGACGCUUUUUUGGGGGCCGAACUAACGCUGUCAGACUUUAUAAAGAAAGUGAUGUCCUAGCUGGCGAAACGAUACAUUAUGACGAUGUUUGCUCUUUAUAUCCGUAUGUGUGUAAAUAUGGAGAGUUUCCUGUUGGCCAUCCCACAGAAAUUUUAUAUGGCUCCGCGUGUGACGGGAAAAGUGUUACGAGUAUUAAGGGUCUCAUCAAGUGCAAGGUUUUACCACCCCCAGUGUUGUACCAUCCAGUGUUGCCUUACAGGAGUGGAGGUAAACUCCUGUUUCCAUUGUGUAGGACAUGUGCAGAGGCAUGUGUUCAAGCAUUUUGUGAACACUCUGAUGAGGAGCGUUGUCUUACAGGUACCUGGGUCUCCUUGGAGUUACACAAGGCACUGGAAUUAGGGUAUAAGAUUGUUAAAGUGUUCGAAAUUUGGAAUUUUAAUACCUCGAAGUAUGACAAGGAAACAAAAACAGGUGGUCUUUUUGAUAAAUACGUGAAUAAAUUCUUAAAAUUAAAACAAGAGGCUAGCGGGUGGCCUUCAUGGUGUGUAACUGAAGCUGACAAAGUAAAGUAUAUUGAAGACUAUGAACGCAAAGAAGAUAUUCGGUUGGUCCGAGACAAUAUUAAGAGUAAUCCUGGCUUCAGAGCAAUUGCUAAAUUAUUGCUAAAUUCUUUCUGGGGGAAGUGGGGCCAGCGAGAUAAUUUCACCGAAGCAAAAUUGUUGUCUGAUCCAUCGGAAAUAUCUGCUUUGUUUAGUAACCCUUCAGUCGACGUUCAAAGUUUUCACCCUGUCUCUAAUGACCUUAUGUUAAUCACUAGUAAAUCAUCUGAGGAAACAAUCAUUCCCAGCAAAAAAACUAAUGUAAUACUUGCGGCAUUCGUCACUGCACAAGCGCGUCUAAAACUGUACUCCUAUUUAGAAAAAUUGCAACACCGCGUUCUUUAUUUCGAUACUGACUCGGUAGUUUACACUCGCCGUCCUGGUGAACAGUUGUUAGAGAGGGGUGAUUACUUAGGUGACCUCACUGACGAGCUGUUGGCCGAGUAUGGAGAGGGAUCGUUCAUUUCAACAUUUGUCAGCGGGGGCCCUAAAAACUAUGGUUAUCAAGUAGCUGUGAAAGGGGAUAGAAAUAAUACAAAAACUGUUUGUAAGGUUAGAGGCAUCACUUUAAAUUACCGUGCCUCCAAGUUAGUGAAUUUUGCAACUGUGAAACAGUCUGUCCUGAAUGUCAUAGCUCCUAUAGUUGUACCUAUUCCGUACAAGAUAGUGCGUAGACCUGAGUGGCAAAUCACGACAGUUUCCCAGUCGAAAAUUUAUAGAGUAGUCUACACAAAACGACGUCGAUUGGAGGGUUCAUACGACACUGUGCCUUAUGGAACAAAAAGGAUCCGUCUAUCGUAAUCUCUGCAUUUCAUUGACUAUUGUCUCGUUGUUGCUGUUUUUUUGUGAAAUUUUUGUAACCCUCAGCUUCUUCUCCAAAAUCUCUCACGUUGCACUCGUAUUUUAAAAUUUUAAUCCGUUACACAUUUUAUUUUAACGUUUCAACUUUGAAAACUCUCAUCCUUUCAAAUGGAACAAUUUCUUUUCCUCGGAACAUUUACAACAUUUUAGUAUUGUUAUUAUUAUUUUGCAUCGCCACAACUUCGUUACCAGUCACUUGCUUUCCCAUUUUCAUGUUCAUUCUGCUUUCUUGUAAAUAAAUGUAGAAAUGUAAAAAAUAUUUUUGGUUCAAUGUUCUUGUAAAAAAGAAAAAGAAAAAUGAUGCUUUUUAUUUUGCAAAUUUGUUCAAAGGUUAACUGUUUCGAUUUAUUUUUGUAUUUUGUGUGUGUCUUGUAACUGUGUCAGCAUUUUAUUAAAAUGUGUAACUUUGUAUGGAAAAAAAAGUUUUCUUUGUCAUGGUCUUGAUUUUCUUUGUGUGUGAGUAAAAUGUGAUUGUACGUAACUUGUAAAAAAAUA
rnacentral:lncRNA from 1 species